CUUCCUUGUGCUUAGGGGAAGGAGAAGAAAAAGAAAAAAACAUCUCACUUAAUGAAACGAAGACUCUGCAGUGUUUUUUUAAAGCUUUAUAAUUUCAGUGAAAUUGUUGGAACAUCCAAAACAUUUCAUUAAAAGGAAAAAAAAAAAUCUACCUGUAAACAUACAUCUAUCACCAAAAACAGAAACUUACCCAAGACUUGGGUGAAAUUAAAGGAACUAGUCCUUGGUUGGAAGAGAAUUCCAGGCUCCAUGUAUUUCAAUUGCACAAUGAAGAUCGUGCAUUAAAUGGAGCAAACAGCAAGACCAGUUAGCUUUGGGAGAGAACGAGUGACACUUAAGCAACAGUAAACUUAGCCUUUAGGUGUGCCUUUAUCUUUAGAUGGAAAGAUAAUUUAUAAGAAUAAAGGAAAAUGUCAGAAGUAAUUAAGAUGAUAUUAACAUUUAUGGGCUUCCCUGGUAGCUCAGUUGGAAAAGAAUCCACCUGCAAUGCAGGAGACCCUGGUUUGAUUCCUGGGUCGGGAAGAUCCACUGGAGAGGUGAUAGGCUACCCACUCCAAUAUUCUUGGGCUUUCCUGGUGGCUCAACUAGUAAAAAACCUGCCUGCAAUGCAGGAGACCUGGGUUCGAUCCUGGUUGGGAAGACACUGGAGAAGGGAAAGGCUACCCACUCCAGUAUUCUGGCCUGGAGAAUUCCAUGGACUAUAUAGUCCAUGGGGUUGCAAGCAGUCAGAAAGUCAGCAACUUUCACUUUAUAAUUUUAUACUCAGGACUGUGCUGGGCACCAAAGAUAGUAAAUGAGGAAUUUCCCAUUGGUUGAAGACACUACUCUUAAAAGCAUGAACUAGUGUAGUGGCUGCUUAAGAGCCAAUGUAUAGUAAUAGUGGCUGCUUAAGAGCCAAGACUUCCCUGGUGGCUUAGAUGGUAAAGUGUCUGCCUGCAAUGGGGGAGACCCGGGUUCGAUCCCUGGGUUGGGAAGAUCUCCUGGAGAAGGAAAUGGCAACCCAUUCCAGUAUUCUUGCCUGAAGAAUCCCACGGAUGGAGGAGCCUGGUAGGCUACAGUCCAUGGGGUCGCAAAGAGUCGGACACGACUGAGUGACUUCACCUUCACUUUCUUUCAAGAGCCAAUAUAAGUGGUGAAGGCAAGAUCAGAGGAAGGCCUGGAAGCAUCAUAAAGAUUUCACAGGGGAGGUGGGAGUCCAACAGAACCUUUAAAGAUCACAGGAUUUGAAGAUGAGAAAGAGGAAGAGCAUUAGAGGAAAUUGGAAGCCACUGGAUAAUAGUAUAUGGCACUAACAAGAUGAAAGCAGAAUUGUAGGAAGACCCAUCUGAUAACAGGAGCCAAGACCUAAGUUUUAGAGAUACCUUCUGAUGGCUGCAUAAUUCCAUUAAUACACCUAACUGUUGAGUUUAUCAAAGGAAACAGAACCAGGAGGCAAAAACCAGGAAAAGGAACAUAGAUGGAAGAAAAAAGAAUCUCAACAACUGAGUAUAGUCAUAACUCUUGACAAGAAAAAGCCUCCUUGGAUCCAUCCCUCCUUUGACAGCUGAGGCCCAGACGUGAGAUGACAAAAGGCAUUUCUUAACAUCUCGUGGCACAACCAAGUCAAAGCCAGAAGGUUUGAAUGGCUUUUCUCAAGGCAAGAGCAAUGUUUCCUGACCUCGCCAGUCACAGAAACUGUCCCAGACCCUCAUUUAAAUAUACAGAAGGUCAAGAGAUUUGGAUUCAGGUCUAUGUUGGUAGAGGAUGGGAGCGGGUAUCUGAGAGUAAAGUCAGUUAUCCUUAAAUUCUGGCAGUUUGGGGUAUCACUGUACUGGCAAGUAACAAAGAGAAAUAAACACAGUAGCAUAAACCCCCAUGGUUCAGCUCACAAGAAAAGGCUUACUCAUAACCAGGCUGGGGAUCCUCACCCUGCCUCUGUGGUCUGAUGCUAUCUUGGCACAUGCUGGCUUAAUCUCCAGCCCAAUCUGGGCACAACAGAGGGAGGUCCGUUGCCAAAAUUAUAAAGUGGCAGGAGAGGAGGGAAACGGGGCUGCUUCUCUUCUUAAUCUGUUUGGAAUUGACUUUUAGUUCCUAACCAGCACACCAAUCCAGACAAGGCCCGUCCUUGCCUCCCUUGGGUUUCCCUGGUUGCUCAGCAGGUAAAGAAUCUGCCUGCAGUGCAGGAGACCCAGAUUUGAUCCCUGGGUUGGGAAGAUCCCCUGG